CGGCGAGUGAAGCGGCAACAGCUCAAAUUUGAAAUCUGGCUCUUUUAGAGUCCGAGUUGUAAUUUGCAGAGGGCGCUUUGGCUUUGGCAGCGGUCCAAGUUCCUUGGAACAGGACGUCACAGAGGGUGAGAAUCCCGUACGUGGUCGCUGGCUAUUGCCGUGUAAAGCCCCUUCGACGAGUCGAGUUGUUUGGGAAUGCAGCUCUAAAUGGGAGGUACAUUUCUUCUAAAGCUAAAUAUUGGCCAGAGACCGAUAGCGCACAAGUAGAGUGAUCGAAAGAUGAAAAGCACUUUGGAAAGAGAGUCAAACAGCACGUGAAAUUGUUGAAAGGGAAGCGCUUGCAGCCAGACUUGCUUACAGUUGCUCAUCCGGGUUUCUACCCGGUGCACUCUUCUGUAGGCAGGCCAGCAUCAGUUUGGGCGGUAGGAUAAAGGUCUCUGUCACGUACCUCCUUUCGGGGAGGCCUUAUAGGGGAGACGACAUACUACCAGCCUGGACUGAGGUCCGCGCAUCUGCUAGGAUGCUGGCGUAAUGGCUGUAAGCGGCCCGUCUUGAAACACGGACCAAGGAGUCUAACAUCUAUG
rnacentral:rRNA from 2 species